UACGUAGGGCGCAAGCGUUGUCCGGAAUUAUUGGGCGUAAAGAGCUCGUAGGCGGUCUGUCGCGUCGGCUGUGAAAUCCCGAGGCUCAACCUCGGGUCUGCAGUCGAUACGGGCAAACUAGAGUAUUGCAGGGGAGACUGGAAUUCCUGGUGUAGCGGUGAAAUGCGCAGAUAUCGGGAGGAACACCGGUGGCGAAGGCGGUUCUCUGGGCCUUACCUGACGCUGAGGAGCGAAAGCGUGGGGAGCGAACAGG
rnacentral:rRNA from 1 species